rnacentral:rRNA from 1 species
GGAGGKUUCAARCGUUAAUCGGAAUUACUGGGCGUAAAGCGCAUGCAGGUGGUUUGUUAAGUCAGAUGUGWAAGCCCUGGGCUCAAACCUAGGAAUCGCAUUUGNAACUGACAAGCUAGAGUACUGUAGAGGGGGGUAGAAUUUCAGGUGUAGCGGUGAAAUGCGUAGAGAUCUGAAGGAAUACCGGUGGCGAAGRCGCCCCCCUGGACAGAUACUGACACUCAGAUGCGAAAGCGUGGGGAGCACACAGGAUUAGAUACCCUGGUAGUACCACGCCGUAAACGAUGUCUACUUGGAGGUUGUGCCCUAGAGCUGUGGCUUUCGGAGCUAACGCGUUAAGUAGWCCGCCUGGGGAGUACGGUCGCAAGAUUAAAACUCAAAUGAAUUGACGGGGGCCCGCACAAGCGGUGGAGCAUGUGGUUUAAUUCGAUSCRACGCGAAGAACCUUACCUACUCUUGACAUCCAGAGAAUCUAGCGGAGACGCUGGAGUGCCUUCGGGAGCUCUGAGACAGGUGCUGCAUGKCUGUCGUCAGCUCGUGUUGUGAAAUGUUGGGKUAAGUCCCGCAACGAGCGCAACCCUUAUCCUUGUUUGCCAGCACRUAAUGGUGRGAACUCCAGGGAGACUNCCGGUGAUAAACCGGAGGAAGGUGGGGACGACGUCAAGUCAUCAUGGCCCUUACGAGUAGGGCUACACACGUGCUACAAUGGCGUAUACAGAGGGCAGCGAUACCGCGAGGUGGARCGAAUCUCACAAAGUACGUCGUAGUCCGGAUUGGAGUCUGCAACUCGACUCCAUGAAGUCGGRRUCGCUAGUAAUCGCAAAUCAGAAUGUUGCGGUGAAUACGWUCCCGGGCCUUGUACACACCGCCCGUCACACCAUGGGAGUGGNCUGCAAAAGAGCAGGUAGUUUAACCUUCGGGAGGACACUUGCCACUGUGUGG